rfam:Scleropages formosus scaffold3258, whole genome shotgun sequence.
CUCCAUGGUGACCGUGGCUUUAGAUUGUUACUGUAGCAACAGGAUCGCGGUAACAGUCUACAGCCAUGGUCGCUAGGGGGCA